rnacentral:lncRNA from 1 species
ACUGAUUUUGGUUGCCGCUGCGAUCCAAACAUUUCGGGAACCCCGGGGUCCGGUUACGGGGAACUCGUCAAAACUCGUACUUUUGGUCUAUUUUGGCCAGUUUUGUAUGCUAUCACUCACUGAUUUUGGGUCCCGCUGUGAUCCGAACGUUUUGGGAACCCCGGGAUCCGAUUACGUGGAACUCAUGAAAACUCGCAGUUUCGGCCUAUUCCCGCCAGUUUUGUAUGCUAUUACUCACUAAGUUUGGAUCCCGC